AACCAGACUCCUACGGGAGGCAGCAGUGGGGAAUAUUGCACAAUGGGGGAAACCCUGAUGCAGCGACGCCGCGUGAGUGAGGAAGUAUUUCGGUAUGUAAAGCUCUAUCAGCAGGGAAGAAAAUGACGGUACCUGACUAAGAAGCCCCGGCUAACUACGUGCCAGCAGCCGCGGUAAUACGUAGGGGGCAAGCGUUAUCCGGAAUCACUGGGUGUAAAGGGAGCGUAGACGGUUACGCAAGUCUGGAGUGAAAGGCGGGGGCCCAACCCCCGGACUGCUUUGGAAACUGUAUAACUGGAGUGCAGGAGAGGUAAGUGGAAUUCCUAGUGUAGCGGUGAAAUGCGUAGAUAUUAGGAGGGACACCAGUGGCGAAGGCGGCUUACUGGACUGUAACUGACGUUGAGGCUCGAAAGCGUGGGGAGCAAACAGGAUUAGAUACCCCAGUA
rnacentral:rRNA from 1 species